CACAAAUAUAAUACAAAAAAAAAGUAUAAAGAUAGUUACAGACAGUGGAGUACAAUGGGCGGACUUAUGGCUAAUUAGCCAUUUCUUCCAGACAACCCCAACUUUUAAUAAAGUAUCACAAGAGGCGACUAAGGGAUAUCACAGUUCCACUACCACCUCGGAACUUAAAAAGCCAACCGAUGGCAGGAUAACCAUCCAACUAGCAGGCUAGCAGACGGGAAGCAGACUUCAGUGCGACGAAGCCAGCCCUGCAGUCACCAACCCGCAUGCCCUGCGUGGUGACCAUGGGCAAAUCAAAUAUUUCACGCCAUUUUUGGCUCGACCUUGUGGAGGCCAUGUCCAGUAGUGGACUGCGAUAGGCUGAUGUGUGCUGAUGAUGUGUGUGAUAUCCUUUGACAACGCGUUAGUUAAACGUUACGAGCGCAAUCACCAUAGUAGCGUACGAACUAUGAACGUAAAGGAAAAAGCAGUCAAAGACGAUUGUUAGACAUCUGAGGUUACAAAAAUUCACACCCAGCUGAAAAUUGGUAGGAUUGUUCAACACCCGUGUGUUUUUCUGAGUUUAUUAGUAAUUUUUCAAUCUUUUGUAAUACUAUUUAUAUUAACCUCAAAUAUAUACAUGUUCCAUUAUAGGAGUGUUUAAUUACUUUAGUAAAUUUAAUAAUUUUUAGUUCUUAUGAACGUUUUCUGAAUUUGCAAUUUACCAUUAAUUUAAAUGGAUACAAAUAUAUUAUGUAUACUUUGACACAUAUUAU
rnacentral:misc_RNA from 1 species